GGGCCCGCACAAGCGGUGGAGUAUGUGGUUUAAUUCGAUGCAACGCGAAGAACCUUACCAGGGCUUGACAUCCUGCGAAUCUCUGGGAAACCGGAGAGUGCCUUCGGGAACGCAGUGACAGGUGGUGCAUGGCUGUCGUCAGCUCGUGUCGUGAGAUGUUGGGUUAAGUCCCGCAACGAGCGCAACCCACGUCUUUAGUUGCCAUCGGUUCGGCCGGGCACUCUAAAGAAACUGCCUGCGAUGAGCAGGAGGAAGGCGGGGACGACGUCAAGUCAUCAUGGCCCUUAUGGACUGGGCUACACACGUGCUACAAUGGCGGUGACAACAGGCAGCGAAGGGGUGACCUGGAGCAAAUCCUAAAAAGCCGUCCCAGUUCGGAUUGUACUCUGCAACUCGAGUACAUGAAGUUGGAAUCGCUAGUAAUCGCGGAUC
rnacentral:rRNA from 1 species